CAGCGGAAAAAGGCCACAAAAACGGGUGGGCUAUAGCCUUGGGGGGUGGGGCUGGCAAACUUCGUCCGCCGGACUCGGAAUGGCGCGAGACUUUGCGAGGCACCUCUGUGUGCCAAAACUAGGCCGUGGGCACAGCCGCGCACAAAAAUAACCACCCGAAGGCCGGGGCGCCAAGUUCGUCCAGCGGAAAAAGGCCAUAAAAACGGGUGGGCAAUAGCCUUGCGGGGUGGGGCUGGCCAACUUCGUCCGCCGGACUCGGAAUGGAGCGAGACUUUGCGAGGCGCCUCCGUGUGCCAAAAAUAGGCCGCGGGCACAGCCACGCCCAAAAAUAACCGCCCGAAGGCCGGGGCGCCAAGUUCGUNN
rnacentral:lncRNA from 1 species